AAUGCCAAUAACCUUCUGAAUACCUAGUAUGGCUUCGUUAUAGGCAGAGUAGUUUUGCUUUAUGUAAUUUCAUUAACACAAACUUACAGAUGAUUAUUUUUAUAGUUUAAUUCUUAGGAAACCUUAUGAAACCAACAUCUGUUUUGCUUAAUUAGGAAGCCAAAGCAUAGAGGCAGCAGACCUUUUUGUCCUCUAAAGCUGCAAAGCAUUCUGCCCUUGACUGCUUUGGGGCAGCUUACAUUAAAAGCCUACACUGGGAGUGACUUCAAGUCAGUCGCUCCAGCCUGAGCAGAGACCCAGGGAAAGCAUUUAUAAAUGAAGGAGUGAGUCAGUACUGCCUUCUGUGCUGUGAACUUGUUUAGGCUGGAGAAGCAUUUGUUUCCAUGACAACUUUAAGGCUCAAAAAAACAGGGUGCUGCAACUUGAUUUCCUCAGUCCUGUGAAAUUCAGGCCUCUGCUUGAUUAGGGGUCUGUCUCUCUCUCACCUUUCUGUGCAACAAGAGAAAGAACUAAACCAACGAUUAUAUAAAGUCUGCCUACUCUGCUCAUCUCCAUGGAUGUGCUCCAUUUUAAACAUUAAGCUUACAUAUCAUCAAGAAGAUGGGGAAGAAGAAGAUGAAGAAAAGGAAGAAGAAGAUGAGGAUGAGGAGAAAGAGAAGGAAGAGAUAGAAAAGGAAGAAGAGGAGAGGGAGAAAGAAGAAGAGGAUGAGGAGGAGGAGAAAGAGAAGGAAGAGAUAGAAAAGGAAGAAGAGGAGAGGGAGAAAGAAGAAGAGGAGGAGGAGGAAGAGGAGGAGGAGGAAACGACUCAAUAACUCAAGGGUCUCCAGUGCUACUGAUUUCCUCAGGGAUACAGAGUGAACAUAUUUCUCAUGCAUGGGGUCCUGCUCGUUGAUCAUUUCAGACACCUUAUUAUCAACAUCUUCAGGAAUUGGGCCCUCUCCCGCCUGCCUUCUCUCUCAAGGUGUCCUGGAACCUGUCAGAUUAAUUUUCACUACAGGCCUGAAUGACAAGUCUCCCAACUCCAUCACAGGGAGGUAUAAACAGACUUGAACCUACCCAAGGGUAGAGUUCAUUGGACCACGGUGGAUGGUAUUUCAGUUUUCAGGGUUGGGAGCGGCUAUAGAGCACAGUCAUCCUAAAAUCUCUAUUGUUUAACUCUCAAAUACCAUCAGCUGGAGCUUCAUAAACUAAAGUGUGGGGAAGGGGAACGUGGAUAGUGUGAAGUGUUCUUAUAUUCUGGUCUCAUGUAUUAGACCGAGGUUCUUUCACUCAUGGAGAGACUUCAAGGGGCUGACAUAGCCCCAGAUGUAGCCCUUUCUUUCUGGCCUGUGCUAAAAAGGGAGGCCAAGUUUUCACAUUCCCUGUCAGAGUACCACUCUCACCAAUUUAAAAGUUUGGAAUGGAGAAAUAGAAGAAGUAUUUCUGUAACAUGCAUCACCAGAACUGACUGAGCAAUUAACAUUUAAGCAUUUAAGUCAAUAUCUGGGCAAUUUAUAAGGAAACAGAGACAUCAGAGCCUUGAAUUCAAAUAUUACCUUUCUUAUUUUAAGCAGUAGUGUAAUGUUAAGCAAAUCACUGAACCUUAUAUACUCAAGCUUAUGGAAAUACACAGCAAAGGACAAACACCUAUGCUCAAAGGGCCCUAUAAAAUGACGUGAAAGCUUCCAGUUGUGAGUCUGUGCUCAAUAUUUAAUAAUCGAUUUAGACUAUUACUUGCUAACUGGAGCAUCAACAAGGCAUUUGAUUAUGUUAUUGAUGACUGUUUACUGACUAGUAAGAUGAUGUGGUGUAUAAAGUUCAUUUUCCCCAAGAAUUCAUGAAAUAUGGAAGAAAGAAUCCAAGAACAUUUGAUAUGAAUGUUCUGAAUCCUUAGUUCCAAAUUGUAGUGGAUUUUGGAAUAAGUAACAGAAUGUUCAUACUUCACAGUGUUAGGUUGCUGGCCAACCUUUCAACGUUUCCUGGUAUUGGGCUUGUUAUUCUGUUUGUCAUUUUUUUUCCCCUCCAGAAAACCAGAUGGGAGACACAGGCUUCAUUUUGACAGAAGAAACCCUCGAGUUAGGCAACCUUUCCCCUCACACCUCCCAUGUGAUUUUCAGGCUUCCUUUGUCACCUAUGAACAGGGCAGACCGAGAGGACACACUGCUCCCAUCCUCACCCAGGCGAGCACCCUGAGUUCAGAACAUAAGCAAGGUUCCAUGUAUGAAAACAAGAUGAAGUUGAAUAUUAAGUGUAACAUUAUUUGGGAUUUAUCUCCCAAGUACCUCAGGCAUGGCUGCCUUUUCUGAGAAUUCAGAAAUGAAGAAUCAGCUUGAUUCCAGCCCUUGGAAACUUAUGUAAGGCAGAGAGGGUAGGUAAUGAGGUGCAUUCAUUUGGCUACUUGGUCAUUCAGCAAAUGUUGGGCACUUAUGAAACAAUGACGGUCUGGGUGCCUGAGAUACAUAAGGAAAGAAAACCAUUAAAAAUCGUGGCCUAACAGAAUUUACAUUUUAAUGAGAGGAGAUAGGCAAAACAGUACACACACACACACACACACACACACACACACACACACACACCACACACACACACACACACCACACACACACACACCACAAAAGUAGGCAAAAGGUGAGAAAAUUAUAAGUUUGUAAUUGCUGUGAAAAGGAUGAAGAUAGAAGAGGAAGCUUGGGUCAGCACUAGGGGGGUGACGGCAUGGUGGCAGUGACACUUCCAUUUUAGAUUAAGGUCAAGCUGUGACUUCCUUGAUGUCAUAGUCAAGGCUUGAAAGAGGCACAGGAAUGGGUCAUGUGGGCAUCUGAGGAGACAGUGUCCUGAUGAAGCAGAGCAGUCAGGACCUGGAUACAGUUCCAACUGAACCCAGCAGACUAUGUCAGAAGAGCAUAAGUGAAAAGCAGGAACUCCUCUUGGAUGCUCACUAAGAACCUUUGAGGGAAGGGACCGCUAUCCUUUCUCGGCAGAAAAGUGAUCGCAGGUCUUCUAGCCCUACUCUACAAGGUGGUCAGCCUCAGGCAUGGAACUCCAUGGGGAGAGUCUGCAGUGAGAGUGACCUUACAUUCCUGAGGACUUGGCCCUUUUCUCUUGGACACUUGCAGUCUUCCCCACUCAUAUGGGCUUGGCCAUCAAACACCCCCUUUCGUUUACUCAGAUACCUUGCCACAACUUGAACAGCUAUUGUAGACUUCUUUUAUUCUAUUAGUCAAUAUUUUUUAACAUUGUGAAGAAGUAGAAGCACUGAUGCUUUAUAAAUAGGGUUUAUAUAUACAUCUAUCUAUUAUAUGUGUGUUUAAAUCAUUCAGCAAUUUUCAGUCAAUUCAGACACUCAUAACUUUCUGUAGAAACCUUCCUGCAUCUGGCUGUCCAGGGAACACAGUUUCUUCCCCACUCUUGGUGAAAGUGCCAUUCUGCACGUUAAUUUACUAUUGCUGUUCUGGCCUCCACUUCAGUUCCCCUGCCUGCCGAUGUUUUUUCCUUUUAGAAUCUUCUCUUAGGGGUUUGAGGAGCAGUUCCACUCAUCCUGUAGUCUUCCGCAAAAGGAAGGGGUGAAUUUAAUUUAAGUCAGAGCCCAACCAGUAUGACCUUGGGAAAAUUACUUCAUUUCCUUGGGUCUCCUGUGGGUCCCUUCUCUUUAAGUGGGAGUAAAAGAUGCCAGUAUUUUUACAUUCAUUUUCCUACUCUUGUUUGCUUUAACACCUGAAGUGAGGUCGUUUAACCAUCAAUAUCAUCUUAUGAUUUAACUGAGAGAAUUUUGCUGUUUUUGGUAACACAUAAGAUGAAUACAACUAUCGGGGACAACCUCCAUUCAGUGAUCAUGGGAGAGAUCCUCUCUUAGGUUAUAAUGCUUAAUGCGUGCUUGUGCGCACACACACACACACACACACACACACACACACACACAUGCAUGCUGCUCUUGUGCUUAUAAGAUAAGGUGGCUUAUCACUUAGUCACUUCAUUAUAUCUUCUUCAUGUACUUAUAUUUCUUAUACUUAAUUUUUGGAAGCCGCUAGACUCUAGACUCUUUUCCCAGUGACUUCAAAAGUGCUGAAGAGUUGAGAGGCCCAAACAGGUGGUCUGAGUUUUGCUCAGUAAGAGCUUUAUGUAUCUACUCUAGUCAACUGGAUGCAAUUUUUAUAGGAAAUGUCUCCAGCUUUCCAAAUAACUCAGAAAUUUAAAGAGAAACAAAGACUAAUAAAAUUCAGAAAAUUAGUGUCUAUACAUUUAUAAUUUAUGUAAACAUCAUUAGUAUGUUCCCAGUAGCAGACUAUUUUAACUUUAGUACUGAUAGGGUGAAAUCAUGUCCCCAGAGUCAGUCAUCCACCCAUUCUUUUAGUAAUACAUUGACCACUAUGCAUUCUGGAACAGAGUAAUGGAAAAUGGCAGUAGAGACUGGAAGUUCUUCCCAGUUCUGCUGCUCACCUGCUCUGGAGCUGUGGCAAAGGCCUUUAAAAUUCUGUUUCCUGUUCUCUCAAUUACAAGUUAAUUCUUUAUACUAGACAAUGCUGGUGCUGAGGAACUCGGGUAGUAUUCACACCAGGAACUUGGUGUACAGACACAUGGUACAGCUGCAAGAAUAGUAUGGACAGGUCCAGGCAACUGUGCUAAAACUCAGCUGUUGGAGAACAGAACAAUGAUUCAUUCCUAGUUUUUAUUGUUUAAAUAUUGAUUCAUGUAACAGCUCUCUGGUUCCUAUGAAAUGCCAGAUCUGGGGCUCAUGAUUCUAGUAGCAGUAAAAGCCAGGGGAACUCAGGGCAGAACAAAGGAUGAUGUUUUCUUUCCAUGGGAGAAAGGAAUCAGACCACCCAGUGUUGUGGCUGUGAAGGCAGCUAAUGUAAUUUUUAGAUGCUGGAAGCCACAUGAUCAUGCUUUCAAAGUUAUCCAGCUAACACCCACGAAGUGUCGAGUAUAAUGCCAGGUGUUGGGGGGCAAUAUGGAGGUGAAUAAAAAAACCACAAAAACCAAUGCCAUUAUGAAUUUUACGGGGUUGGCAGUUGCAGAAAAAUAAUUAUCAGUAUGAUGCUUCAUAAAAAACAAAUGGAUAAAGAUUGUAUGAAUAUAUGUGUGUGUGUGUGUGUGUGUGUGUGUGUGUGUGUGCCAGAGAGAAAUGAACCCCACUCUAGGUGAGGCAAUGUGGGUUGGUGUGACUCAAGUUCACAUGGCCAGGACUAGUGGAGGUUCAGAUACUUGCUUUGGCACUCUCUACAUAAUUUAUGUGCAAGUCUCAAAGUUUUAGUGCCAGAAUAAACCACUGCCUUUUCUUCAAAAAAACAUUUCUAGAAACAACAUCUGAAAUGCUGACUGAACAGAGGGAAAGAUAACUUCUGGCCUGUUUUCACUUCUAGUGCUCAGAAACCGUAAGGCCCCCUACAAUUAAUUCUGGCUGUUAUUAAAUCAAAGCUAAAAACUUUCAUGCCAGAGACUCCGCUUCCAGAUACUUGAAGUGAUGAACCUUUCUUUUAUUGAUGCCAUCCCAUCUCCAAGCCCAUUUGGAAUCCCAAAGAUGUCUAUUGGUUUUUAAAAUAAAAACCCAAGAGAAAGUCUACUUGAAAUGGUUUUUGAAGAAUUCGACAAGGGCUUCAUGAGGCCGCUGGAGAAAUGCUGGGU